CCAGACCCUCUAGAUAAGACCCCAUCUCUCGUUCUUCCUAGUGAGAUCUCAGAAUUCAACUAGACAUGGCUGACAUGGAAGAAGUCAUGGAGGAAGUUCAGGAAGGUAAGCCAGUAUGAGAUGAGUACGUACUACUUAAAGCCUAAACAUUAGCCAUAUUCAUGUACUUAUCACUAAUUGUGUCCUCAUGGAAAUCUGAGUUUGGUCCUGAGGAAGUUCUGUGUGCUAUCGUGUUAUUUUAGCCUGUGAGCGUUUGACUUUAGAAUAGCUUUUGUGCUCAGCUUCAUGCCCAGUGGAGUUGA